UUUGUGCGACUGACGGGUAAUUGUGGGAAAACCACAGGGAAGCGCAAAGAGAAUAGAGCCGACCGUCUGGGCAGUCU
rnacentral:ncRNA from 1 species